rnacentral:rRNA from 1 species
AGCGAACGCUGGCGGCAGGCUUAACACAUGCAAGUCGAACGGGCGUAGCAAUACGUCAGUGGCAGACGGGUGAGUAACGCGUGGGAACGUACCUUUUGGUUCGGAACAACACAGGGAAACUUGUGCUAAUACCGGAUAAGCCCUUACGGGGAAGAUUUAUCGCCGAAAGAUCGGCCCGCGUCUGAUUAGCUAGUUGGUGAGGUAACGGCUCACCAAGGCGACGAUCAGUAGCUGGUCUGAGAGGAUGAUCAGCCACAUUGGGACUGAGACACGGCCCAAACUCCUACGGGAGGCAGCAGUGGGGAAUAUUGGACAAUGGGCGCAAGCCUGAUCCAGCCAUGCCGCGUGAGUGAUGAAGGCCCUAGGGUUGUAAAGCUCUUUUGUGCGGGAAGAUAAUGACGGUACCGCAAGAAUAAGCCCCGGCUAACUUCGUG